rnacentral:sRNA from 1 species
UAAAAACAUAUUAUCAAUUUGGCGCCGUUGCCAAUUGGGUGUUUGUUUGCUAUAUUUGAGAUUUCA